UACGUAGGUGGCAAGCGUUGUCCGGAUUUACUGGGCGUAAAGAGCGCGCAGGCGGUCGUGCAAGUCGCGUGUGAAAGCCCCCGGCUCAACUGGGGAGGGUCACGCGAUACUGCUCGACUCGAAGGCAGGAGAGGGAAGUGGAAUUCCCGGUGUAGUGGUGAAAUGCGUAGAUAUCGGGAGGAACACCAGUGGCGAAGGCGGCUAUCUGGGCUGAAACUGACGCUGAGGCGCGAAGGCUAGGGUAGCAAACAGG
rnacentral:rRNA from 1 species